UGAGGUAAAGCUCAGUGGUCAAGUGUGUGUUCAGCAUGCACAAGGUCCUGGGUUCAAUCCCCAGCACCACAU
rnacentral:tRNA from 1 species